rnacentral:rRNA from 1 species
UACAGAGGGUGCAAGCGUUGUUCGGAAUUAUUGGGCGUAAAGAGCGCGUAGGCGGUCCGGUAAGUCCGCUCUGAAAGCCCGGGGCUCAACCCCGGGAGGCGGGCGGAUACUGUCGGGCUAGAGUCCGGAAGAGGCGAGUGGAAUUCCUGGUGUAGCGGUGAAAUGCGCAGAUAUCAGGAGGAACACCGAUGGCGAAGGCAGCUCGCUGGGACGGUACUGACGCUGAGGCGCGAAAGCUAGGGGAGCGAACGGG